AGGACGAACGCUGGCGGCGUGCUUAACACAUGCAAGUCGAGCGGAAAGGCCUUUCGGGGUACUCGAGCGGCGAACGGGUGAGUAACACGUGAGUAAUCUGCCCAUCGCUUCAGGAUAGCCAUCGGAAACGGUGAUUAAUACUGGAUAUGACAUUCCUUCGCAUGUUGGGGUGUGGAAAGUUUUUUCGGCGGUGGAUGUGCUCGCGGCCUAUCAGCUUGUUGGUGGGGUAAUGGCCUACCAAGGCUUUGACGGGUAGCCGGCCUGAGAGGGUGACCGGCCACACUGGGACUGAGACACGGCCCAGACUCCUACGGGAGGCAGCAGUGGGGAAUAUUGGACAAUGGGCGGAAGCCUGAUCCAGCAACGCCGCGUGAGGAUGAAGGCCCUCGGGUCGUAAACUUCUUUUAGGGAGAAGAGAAAGGACGGUAUCCCCUGAAUAAGCCACGGCAAACUACGUGCCAGCAGCCGC
rnacentral:rRNA from 1 species